rnacentral:rRNA from 1 species
AGAGUUUGAUCAUGGCUCAGGAUGAACACUGGCGGCGUGCUUAAUGCAUGCAAGUCGAACGGAGAGUAGGGCUUCGGCCCUAUUUCUCAGUGGCGGACGGGUGAGUAACACGUAACUAACCUGCCCUCGGGUGGGGGAUAACUCGCCGAAAGGCGAGCUAAUACCGCAUAAAGUGCUGGGGUAACGCCCAAGCAUCAAAGCCUUCGGGCGCCUGUGGAGGGGGUUGCGGCCUAUCAGGUAGUUGGUGAGGUAAUGGCUCACCAAGCCAUCGACGGGUAGCUGGUCUGAGAGGAUGAUCAGUCACACUGGGACUGAGAUACGGCCCAGACUCCUACGGGAGGCAGCAGCAAGGAAUUUUGCGCAAUGCCCGAAAGGGUGACGCAGCAAUGCCGCGUGGGUGAUGAAGGCCUUCGGGUCGUAAAACCCUUUUCUUGGGGAAGAAGAUCUGACGGUACCCAAGGAACAAGCCUCGGCUAAUCACGUGCCAGCAGCCGCGGUGAUACGUGAGAGGCGAGUGUUAUCCGGAUUUACUGGGCGUAAAGGGCGCGUAGGCGGCCCGGCAAGUCUUCUGUAAAAUCUCCCGGCUCAACUGGGAGGGUGCAGAGGAUACUACCGGGCUUGAGGACAGCAGGGGGAGGAGGAAUUCCCGGUGGAGCGGUGAAAUGCGUAGAUAUCGGGAAGAACACCAAUGGCGAAGGCGACCUCCUGGGCUGUUCCUGACGCUGAGGCGCGAAAGCGUGGGGAUCAAACAGGAUUAGAUACCCUGGUAGUCCACGCCGCAACCGAUGGACACUAGGUAUGGGGGGUAUCGACCCUCUCCGUGCCGUAGUUAACGCGUUAAGUGUCCCGCCUGGGGAUUACGGCCGCAAGGCUAAAAUUCAAAGGAAUUGACGGGGGCCCGCA